AACGAUGAUUGCUAGUGUCAGAGGGUAUGCGCUCUUUAGAGCUGCCUCUCACGUAUUACACUCUCCCUGUGGGGAGUACGGCCGCAAGGAUGAAACUCAAAAGAUUUGAGGGGGGCCCGCACAAGCGGUGGAAUGUGUGUUUUAUUUCAAAACAACGCAAAAAACCUUACCAUGUUGUGACGUCCUCAGACAACCAUAGAUAUAGGGUUUUCCCCUUYGRGGAACAGAGAGACAGGGGGUGCAUGGCUGUCGUCAGCUCGUGUCGAGAGAUGUUGGGUUAACUCCCCCAACGAGCGCMACCCUUGUUCUUAAUUGCCCGCAUUCAGUUGGGCACUCUAAGGUGACUGCCGGGGACAAACCGGAGGAAGGGGGGGAUGACGUCAAAUCAUCAUGCCCCUUAUGACCUGGGCUACACACCCGCUACAAUGGAUGGUACAAAGGGGUGCAAACCUGCGAAGGUAAGCGAAUCCCAUAAAGCCAUUCUCAGUUCGGAUUGCUGGUUGCAACUCGGCUGCAUGAAGCCGGAAUCGCUAUAAUCGCGGAUCAGCCWGCCGCGGGGAAWACUUUCCGGGCCUUGUACACMCCGCCCCCCCACCCCAGAGAGUUAGUAACACCCGAAGUCGGUGAGGUAAUAAUUCAUGGAAAACCGCCCCUCAAAGUGGACAGAAAUUAG
rnacentral:rRNA from 1 species